rnacentral:misc_RNA from 1 species
GAGUUUCCCUCGAUUUCUCUGGGAUCCCAUCAUCAGAUCCUGGUUUCCUUAUUACGGUACCAAACUAGGGAUAUCCCCUUUCCAACGAAAAAAGAAUUAUCAAAAUCGGUACAUCCAGUAGAAAGUUAUGCGGUAUAAUACAACGUAGGUCGACGAAAAAAGCGUCAAGUAAAAACGCAUUAUUAGAUAUAACUCAAAAAGUAGUUGUUAGAUCUCAAAUAAAUUUAAAUGGGACCAAUUGGCACACAGUACCUUUCGAUUGAAACAAAAUUUGUCGAAAUCGGUCUACCCGGUCAAAAGUUCUGAUGUAACAUACAUAAAA